rnacentral:rRNA from 1 species
UUGGAGGGCAAGUCUGGUGCCAGCAGCCGCGGUAAUUCCAGCUCCAAUAGCGUAUAUUAAAGUUGUUGCAGUUAAAAAGCUCGUAGUUGAAUUUCGGGAUUAGUACGUUGGUCGUGCCUUCGGUACGUACUGGUGUUACUGAUUCCUACCUUCUGACGAACCAUCAUGUCAUUAAUUUGGUGUGGUGGGGAAUCAGGACUGUUACUUUGAAAAAAUUAGAGUGUUUAAAGCAGGCUCGCGCUUGAAUACAUUAGCAUGGAAUAAUGAAAUAGGACGUUGACCCUAUUUUGUUGGUUUCUAGGAUUGACGUAAUGAUUAAUAGGGAUAGUUGGGGGCAUUAGUAUUCAAUUGUCAGAGGUGAAAUUCUUGGAUUUAUUGAAGACUAACUACUGCGAAAGCAUUUGCCAAGGAUGUUUUCAUUAAUCAAGAACGAAAGUUAGGGGAUCGAAGACGAUCAGAUACCGUCGUAGUCUUAACCAUAAACUACGCCGACUAGGGAUCGGAUGAUGUUAUUUUUAAUGACUCAUUCGGCGCCUUACGGGAAAC